UACGUAGGGGGCGAGCGUUAUCCGGAAUCACUGGGCGUAAAGGGUGCGUAGGCGGCCAAUAAAGUCAGGGGUGAAAGGCUACGGCUUAACCGUAGUAAGCCUUUGAAACUUAUUGGCUUGAGUGCAGGAGAGGAGAGUGGAAUUCCUAGUGUAGCGGUGAAAUGCGUAGAUAUUAGGAGGAACACCAGUGGCGAAGGCGACUCUCUGGACUGUAACUGACGCUGAGGCACGAAAGCGUGGGGAGCGAACAGG
rnacentral:rRNA from 1 species